rnacentral:pre_miRNA from 7 species
UUCCAAAUCAUAACACUGUGUUGUAAAAUCCUCUUUCGGGGACCCCCACUCUAGUCUCCGGAGAGAGAGCACACCCAAAGAAACACACGAAUCU